GAUGAAGAACGUAGCGAAAUGCGAUAAGUAAUGCGAAUUGCAGAAUCCGUGAAUCAUCGAGUCUUUGAACGCACAUUGCGCCCCCUGGUAUUCCGGGGGGCAUGCCUGUCCGAGCGUCAUUGCUGCCCUCAAGCACGGCUUGUGUGUUGGGCCGUCGUCCCCCUCCUAGGGGACGGGCCCGAAAGGCAGCGGCGGCACCGCGUCCGGUCCUCGAGCGUAUGGGGCUUCGUCACCCGCUCCGUAGGCCCGGCCGGCGCUUGCCGACGACCAUCAAUCUCUUUCUCCAGGUUGACCUCGGAUCAGGUAGGGAUACCCGCUGAACUUAAGCAUAUCAAUAAGCGGAGGA
rnacentral:misc_RNA from 1 species